rnacentral:misc_RNA from 1 species
UUUCCGUAGGUGAACCUGCGGAAGGAUCAUUAUUGUAUAACCGAGGUGCGAGGGCUGUCGCUGACCCGAAAGGUCGUGCACGCCCGAGUGCCCUCACACACAUCCAUCUCACCCCUAUGUGCACCACCGCGUGGGUCCCCCUUUGGCUUGUUCGGAGGGGGGCUUACGUUUUCACACAAACUUUGUAUGCAGUGUAGAAUGAAUUUUUUGUUUUUGCGAUCACGCAAUCAAUACAACUUUCAACAACGGAUCUCUUGGCUCUC